rnacentral:lncRNA from 1 species
GGGUGGGGUCCAUUCCUAUCUCAACCAAUCACACCUUUUUCCUUUUUUUUUAAAUAGUUUACCACUUCACCAAUUGUCUAAAUCAUUGCCAACACUUUUCACCAAAGUUUAAACACUUUUGACUGAUUGACAUGGCGCGCUCUGAUUGGUCGGUUUUUUGGUUUGCCACUCCAAAGUGUUUAACCACUCCUAACACCCUAAAGUAACAAUUUAAGAUACUAAUAGUUUAAAUUCACUUAUUAGGGUACUAACUUUUCAUUUUUUAACAUGUGGGGGUAUUAUUGUUAAUUCCCUGGUUAACUAUCAGUACCUUAGAUUGUUAGUUUGUGUAAACCACAUGGACUAACUAUGUAAUUAAUACCUCCACAUGUAAAAAAAUACAAAGUUAGUACCCCAGAAAGUGAUUUUAAACUAUUAGUACCUUAGAUUGUUAGUUUGUGUAAACUGUAGGGACUAACUAUGUAAUUAACUCUAAAAAUAAACUAUAAAUUUAUAUAAUUUUAAUAAAACUUAUUUAUAAAAAUAAACUAUAAAUUUAUCAGAUAAAUAUAAAUUUAAUAAAACGAAACAUAUUUUAACGUAGCUUAUUUUAUUUUAUUUUAUUAAUAUAGAAAUUUGUAUCCUGGCAAGUUGUUCUAGUGGUUAAUCACUUGUUAUUACUUAUUGAGGCCCUAAGUUCAACUUCCACUAGAGCAUCACCUUGAAUGACAUUGAUGGUGGCAAUGAAGUGUUCGAAACCGAGCCGAACCGGGUUCUACCGCAGUGGGUUUUCGGGCAGACAGGUUUCCUUGGAACUGGUGAUGCAUUUACUCAAUUGACGACAUCCUAGAAUGCUUAUCCGGUGAUUUAGUUGAC